rnacentral:misc_RNA from 1 species
GAAAAACAUAAUUUAUCGUUUAAAACUGGAAAAUUAUCCAUGCAUAAUCCUCCAGCAGUAACAUUAUCAACUUGGAAGGGACAAAAAACAAGGUGAAAUGAGAGAUACUUUAAAUAAAAUUUAAAUCUAGAUACCUUAUAAAAGUAAUUGUACUUUUGAUUUACAAAGUAGACAGGGAAGAUCACACUUCAAUGCAAAUAGGAUUCAACAAAUGUCAUCCACACUUUGGUCUGAAUUUGCAGCACUGAUGAUUGUUCUCCUCACAUUAGUCCACCGGAACUUCAACUUCCAGCUUCAAACCAGAAUUACCAGGAAUCUGGAUGCAAAGUAUAGGUCAAGUCAGCACAGCACAUGA